rnacentral:rRNA from 1 species
UACGGAGGGUGCGAGCGUUAAUCGGAGUUACUGGGCGUAAAGGGUGCGUAGGUGGUUUGGUAAGUUAUCUGUGAAAUCCCCGGGCUUAACCUGGGCAGGUCAGAUAAAACUGCGAGACUCGAGUAUAGGAGAGGGUAGUGGAAUUUCCGGUGUAGCGGUGAAAUGCGUAGAGAUCGGAAGGAACACCAGUGGCGAAGGCGGCUACCUGGCCUAAUACUGACACUGAGGCACGAAAGCGUGGGGAGCAAACAGG